rnacentral:rRNA from 1 species
AUACGUAGGGUGCAAGCGUUAAUCGGAAUUACUGGGCGUAAAGCGUGCGCAGGCGGUUUUGUAAGUCUGUUGUGAAAUCCCCGGGCUUAACCUGGGAACUGCAUUUGAAACUGGCAGGCUUGAGUCUUGUAGAGGGGGGUAGAAUUCCAGGUGUAGCGGUGAAAUGCGUAGAGAUCUGGAGGAAUACCGGUGGCGAAGGCGGCCCCCUGGACAAAGACUGACGCUCAGGUGCGAAAGCGUGGGGAGCAAACAGGAUUAGAUACCCUGGUAGUCCACGCCGUAAACGAUGUCGACUUGGAGGUUGUUCCCUUGAGGAGUGGCUUCCGGAGCUAACGCGUUAAGUCGACCGCCUGGGGAGUACGGCCGCAAGGUUAAA